rnacentral:rRNA from 1 species
AUACGGAGGGUGCAAGCGUUAUUCGGAAUCACUGGGCGUAAAGGGUGCGGAGGCGGUUUGAUAAGUCUGAUGUGAAAUCCUAUGGCUCAACCAUAGAACUGCAUUGGAAACUGUCAGACUAGAAUACUGAAGGGGCAGAUGGAAUUAGUGGUGUAGGGGUAAAAUCCGUAGAUAUCACUAGGAAUACCGAAAGCGAAAGCGAUCUGCUGGGAAGUUAUUGACGCUGAGGCACGAAAGCGUGGUGAGCAAACGGGAUUAGAAACCCUAGUAGUCC